rnacentral:rRNA from 1 species
GACGAACGCUGGCGGCGUGCUUAACACAUGCAAGUCGAACGGAAAGGCCCUGCUUUUGUGGGGUGCUCGAGUGGCGAACGGGUGAGUAACACGUGAGUAACCUGCCCUAGACUUUGGGAUAACUUCAGGAAACUGGGGCUAAUACCGUAUAGGAGAUCAUGCAGCAUGGUGGGCGUUGGAAAGUUUCAGCGGUUGGGGAUGGACUCGCGGGUUAUCAGCUUGUUGGUGGGGUAGUGGCUGACCCAGGCUUUGACGGGUAGCCGGCCUGAGAGGGUGACCGGCCACAAUGGGACUGAGGUACGGCCCAGACGCCAACGGGGGGCAGCAGUGGGGAAUAUUGCCCAAUGGGAGGAAGCCUGUGGCAGCAACGCCGGGUGCGGGAUGACGGCCUUUGGGGUGUGAACCGCUUUCGCCUGUGACGAAGCGGUAGUGACGGUAAUGGGAAAAGAAGCACCGGCUAACUACGUG